CGGGGAAUAUUGCGCAAUGGGCGAAAGCCUGACGCAGCGACGCCGCGUGAGGGAUGAAGGUUUUCGGAUCGUAAACCUCUGUCAGAAGGGAAGAAACCGCACUGUGCUAAUCAGCAGUGCCUUGACGGUACCUUCAAAGGAAGCACCGGCUAACUCCGUGCCAGCAGCCGCGGUAAUACGGAGGGUGGAAGCGUUAAUUGGAAUUAUUGGGCGUAAAGCGCACGUAGGCUGUUUUGUAAGUCAGGGGUGAAAUCCCGCGGCUAAACCGUGGAACUGCCUUUGAUACUGCUUAGCUUGAAUCCGGGAGAGGGUGGCGGAAUUCCAGGUGUAGGGGUGAAAUCCGUAGAUAUCUGGAGGAACAUCAGUGGCGAAGGCGGCCACCUGGACCGGUAUUGACGCUGAGGUGCGAAAGCGUGGGGAGCAAACAGG
rnacentral:rRNA from 1 species